GUAGGUGAACCUGCGGAAGGAUCAUUUCCAAUAAAACAAACAACAAAGUGUCCAAUGAGCGUAAAAGCUUGGUACUUGACUGUACCUUGUAAGUAGCGCUAUGUGAAAAGAAAGGGGGGGUCUUGUACUCUUAUUUUUUACUCUUGACUCUUGGUCAAGGUAUAUAUCGCGUAUAUAUGCUUUGGUCAGGAGGAGAGAGUGGUGACUCCAACAAAACACAAGUGUCCAAAUGAUGAUAUCCAAGAAAAGAAACAAACUUUAUAGCAAAAAAAGAGCGAAAAUAUAUGACAACUUUUAACGGUGGAUCUCUAGGCUCGU
rnacentral:misc_RNA from 1 species